rnacentral:ncRNA from 1 species
AGGCUUGGUCCUGGCCUUUCCAUUGGUUGUAAAUAAACUUACACAUGCAAGAAUCCUCACUCCUGUGAAAAUGCCCUCUAACCAUACACUGGUAAAAGGAGCCGGUAUCAAGCUCACUGAGAGUAGCUCAUAACACCUUGCUCAGCCACACCCCCACGGGAAACAGCAGUGAUAGAAAUUAAGCAAUAAAUGAAAGUUUGACUAAGUUAUAUUAUUUUAGGACUGGUAAAUAUCGUGCCAGCCACCGCGGCCAUACGAUAAGACCAAACUAAUAGACAACCGGCGUAAAGCGUGUUUUAGAAAUCAAUCAAAUAAUAAAGUCAAACCUCAACUAGACUGUAAAAAGCUUUAGUUGUUGUAAGAUAUUAAACGAAAGUAACUUUAAAGCUUCUGACUACACGAUAGCUAAGACCCAAACUGGGAUUAGAUACCCCACUAUGCUUAGCCCUAAACAUAAAUAAUUAUAAACAAAAUUAUUCGCCAGAGUACUACUAGCAAAAGCUAGAAACUCAAAGGACUUGGCGGUGCCUUAUAUCCCUCUAGAGGAGCCUGUUCUAUAAUCGAUAAACCCCGAUAUACCUCACCAAUCCUUGCCAAAUCAGCCUAUAUACCGCCAUCUUCAGCAAACCCUAAUAAAGGAGUUAUAGUAAGCACAAAUAUUAACAUAAAAACGUUAGGUCAAGGUGUAGCUCAUGGAUUGGAAAGAAAUGGGCUACAUUUCCCCAAUUCGAGGAUAUUUUACGAAAACUUAUGUGAAAUCAUUAGCUAAAGGCGGAUUUAGUAGUAAAUUAAGAAUAGAGUGCUUAAUUGAAUAAGGCCAUGAGGCACGCACACACCGCCCGUCACCCUCCUCAAGCAAAAUUUGACUUCUUCUUAUAUAAAUAACGACAACAUUAAUAUGCAAGAGGAGAUAAGUCGUAACAAGGUAAGUGUACUGGAAAGUGCACUUGGAUAACG